rnacentral:rRNA from 1 species
GACGAACGCUGGCGGCGUGCCUAAUACAUGCAAGUCGAACGCAGUGGGGACGGGUGAGUAACACGUGGGUAACCUCCCAUCAGAGGGGAUAACACUUGGAAACAGGUGCUAAACCGAUACUGAUGGAUGGACCCGCGGUGCAUUAGCUAGUUGGUGAGGUAACGGCUCACCAAGGCCACGAUGCAUAGCCGACAUGAGAGGGGGAUCGGCCAGACUGGGACUGAUACACGGCUCAGACUCCGACGGGAGUCAGCAGUAGGGAAUCUUCGGCAAUGGACGAAAGUCUGACCGAGCAACGCCGCGUGAGUGAAGAAGGUUUUCGGAUCGUAAAACUCUGUUAAGCGGGACGCGGUACCGGAAUAGAAAGCCACGGCUAACUACGUGCCAGCAGCCGCGGUAAUAC